UUAAAGACUAUGAAAAGAAGAGUAGAUAGAUAUGUUCUUUUAAAGAGAGCUUCGGAAGGUGAAAGGAAGUAAAGAAACGUCUAUUGAACCAAGCCUUGGAGUUUCAUACGGAUCUUUCAUAAAGAAAGUGAUGCUAUGACGUUUAUCUACGUUACAAGAUUAGAGUAUAAGUUUCUGUAAUUCAGAUUCCGUACUUGAAGAGGCUAUUAUAGUGAUAUAUUAGUAAAAUAGAGUGGCAACGCGAAGUAAGCUUUCGUCUCUAAA
rnacentral:ncRNA from 1 species